UUUAAUCUCCUUUCAAAAGUAAUUUAUUUUCCCUACAAUAUUACUGCUAAUUAACUUUAUUAAUACGGUUUUCUUCAAAUCAUAUAAUCUUCCCUAAUCUUCCUCCAGCGCCUUUCUUCACUUUCUCAUCUCGGUUCGCCGGUGGUUACCCAAAAAAGCAGCUCGUUUCAAGAUCAGUGACCUGUUAUAUUUUUGUACUUUUUUCUUUCAAUUUUUUCUUUACUCUACUUUAUUGCCUUGUACUUUGACCUUUUUCUUAAGAUUUUGAUCUUUUUUCUUAAUUUCUUCCUUUCUUUGUUCGAAUAUAUGAAGCAACCGACGAAUUUGGAAGAAAUUGAAGGAAAUCGGAUUUGCGGUAUAGAGUCGACCAAGAUCAUCAGAAGAAAUUCAUGGAAUCAUUGAAUCCUAUCUCCUGAAUCGAAAAAUUGAAGGUGGAAUUAAACCAAAGAGGUAGUGGAGCAACAAGUGAGUAGCAACAAUGUAUAAUGAUGAACAAGUGAUUGAAUUUGGCUUCUGAGGUGGGAAGAAGACAAAGAAUGGUAGUGCAUUAUGUCUUAGCUUUAAUGCUCAUGUUAACUCCUUUUAGUUUUGUAAUUUUGAGAACUAAUUAAUUAUUUCGCUACAAUUUGUAGCUAUUAGCAGUUAAAAAACUAUUACUUUUCUCACAUAUGAGAUGUAAUUUGAAUGUCAAUUUAUUGAAUGCAGCUUAUUAUUUUCUCAAAAGAAGUUAAUUUUUACACUUCA